UACAACCAGCGACACAUGGCACUCAUUGAAGCCACUCAAGGUUCCAUUCUAGGUAACCUUCGAGAGGUGAGGACCGCUCAGGAUACCCUGCAGGCGAGGAUGGAUCAGAGAGACCGUCGUCGUACCCGAUCUCGUCGUCCACCUCAGGAUGGUGAGGGAACUAGUGGUCAACAAUAGGUUGUCAGGUAACUCUUCCCUUAUCUUAUUUC
rnacentral:lncRNA from 1 species